UCUCCUCCCAUCUAGGAGAUCAUGGGGCCCUUUGAUACCCCAAGACUUGUGGACUAGGGGACUGAGCCAAGAGGGGCAAGUCGAGCUUUUCCCUGGUUCCUGCCCCUCCUCUGGGACCCCCAAAGAGAUGGUACUCAAGGGCAGUCGGGCGAUUGAAACUUAUAUGCCAUCCCGAGCUGAGGAAGGAAGGACACCAGGGUCUGAGUCUUCAAAGUGCGGAGAGUGAGUCAUGGCACAGUGAGAGCAGAUCUUCGGUAACUGGAGGUUUGCCCGGCCCUGCAGGUAUUGCCUUCUCUGAACUCCUCUGGUGGCUCCUGGAGCCCAGCUGUUGCCCACGCCCUCUGCGCUGCACGUCUGAGUUCCUGAGCACAGAUGGAAGGCCUUGGGGACUAACCUGAGCAGCGCUGUGUUAGUUGCGGGCCUUUCUCCCCAACUUGGCGCGGGACUGCCCUUCCUCACUUCUUUACCAGAGGAAGCACCCCUUCGUCUGAGGCCCAGCAUAAAGGGUGCGGAUCACUUUCCCGGGGACUUGACCUGCUCUCCCUCAGCACCCAGACGAAGCCCCUUCUUUGCUCAGUGCCCUGUGCCUCUCUGUCGUGCCCUGAUCUCAGUCACCUACACGUGUGCCCUUCCCGCCCUACGUCUGGUUCUCCGAGGGGGGGGCUCAUCUAACUCAUCACAGCUCCCAGCCCCUUUCUUCUUCGCUAGACUGCUGUCCCUGAGCACACUGUCUGGCACCAAACAAAGGGCCGGGUAGAUGUUUGUUGGAAUGAAUUGAAUUCCUUGGGGAAAUUCAAUUUUCUAUUUUUAUCCUGGCCAAGAAACGAAUGCAUGAAGAAAAGUACUUGUUGAAGGUCGCAGAGCCCCAGGAGAGGAGGAGCUGGUUAAAUCUGACUUUCUCACUCGUUGCUUUCACAAUGUCUGGCACACCCUCAGACUCCAAUAAACAGUGCAUAAAGAAAAGAAUGAAUGAGGUAUUCACGGCAAAGGCUGGGAUCCAAGUCUUUUUGUCUUC